rnacentral:rRNA from 1 species
UACGAAGGGGGGCUAGCGUUGCUCGGAAUCACUGGGCGUAAAGCGCACGUAGGCGGAUUGUUAAGUCGGGGGUGAAAUCCUGGAGCUCAACUCCAGAACUGCCUUUGAUACUGGCGAUCUUGAGUCCGGGAGAGGUGAGUGGAACUGCGAGUGUAGAGGUGAAAUUCGUAGAUAUUCGCAAGAACACCCGUGGCGAAAGCGGCUCUCUGGAACGGUACUGACGCUGAGGUGCGAAAGCGUGGGGAGCAAACAGG